UACGUAGGGUGCAAGCGUUAAUCGGAAUUACUGGGCGUAAAGCGUGCGCAGGCGGUUUUGUAAGUCUGAUGUGAAAUCCCCGGGCUCAACCUGGGAAUUGCAUUGGAGACUGCAAGGCUAGAAUCUGGCAGAGGGGGGUAGAAUUCCACGUGUAGCAGUGAAAUGCGUAGAGAUGUGGAGGAACACCGAUGGCGAAGGCAGCCCCCUGGGUCAAGAUUGACGCUCAUGCACGAAAGCGUGGGGAGCAAA
rnacentral:rRNA from 1 species